CGGAGCGUAGCGCAGCCUGGUAGCGCACUUGCUUCGGGAGCAAGGGGUCGCGAGUUCGAAUCUCGCCGCUCCGACCA
rnacentral:tRNA from 1 species